UGUAGAGUCGAUCUGUCUAACUUUCUUGCUUAUUGCAAAUAACACAGUCUUAAUUAUUAUUUAUAGCUUGUCAAAUUUAAAUACAAUUUCCAAGAAAUAUGCACAAAAAUACAAGUAUUUUUACCUAUGAAUGUCAUAUGUUUUUUUUUUUUAAUUAUCAAAUGAGAACACAACUGAAAGCGCUCAAUGCAACACUUAUUUCUCACUUCAAAUCUAUAGUUAUUCAUCUUCAUAUUUCAUACACUUUUCCGAUAUCAUCAGAUUACAUUAAGAACAAAAUAAUGUUACAAUUAAAUUUUACCUUAUCGUUUUCAAAAGAACAUACUAUAGAAUAUGCUUCCUGUUACCAACAACAGCAUUGGCAAUGAACAACAACUGACCUUGGAAUCCAACAACAAUCCGAUGAUGCGUCCCAGCGAUGUUGCAAUGAAAUCGACUUGUCAUUUCUAUUUCCCGAGGAAGUCUGUAGGCUAAUUAAUAUUUUAUUACCUCGCUUCUCAAACUAACUCGGGCGAACCCGCGGGGCACACAAGGUUGACGACAAACACGAACGCACAAUAAAACAACGGACAUAAGAUUACUUUACACCAUGAUUAUACAGAUUUGUGUACAUACUAUUUUUUAUACCUAUGAUAAGGAUAUCGUUGUAGCGGGGGGAGGGGGGGAAGUAGGCAUCAUGCCCCGAGCGCUAUUCACAAAGGGGCACCAAAUGCUCCGCAAAACUAAAAAUUGCUGGAUAUAUUAUAUGGUUUUCAGAGGGGGAGGGGGGGGGGGGGGAUAAAAAGGUUUUGUGCGCUGGAUGCGAGUUAAGCUCGCUACACCACUGGAUUGGGCUGAAGAAAUAAUUUUAAUCAGCUCAAGGCCAAAUCGCGACUUUAGCAACUUAGACGAUAAUGAUAAUGUUGUUUAAACGAGUUAUUUUUGUUAAUUAAAUUUCAGGGAGUAAAAUGUAAGUUAACACCAAAAAUAAUCAAUAAUAAUAACAUAAAAACAAACAUAACAUGAAGGUUUUCAAUUAAUUAAUAUAAACAAGAAGUAGAAAGUAGGAAGUCAAAUAACAAUAAUUGAUAUCAGAAUAUGAAACAGGUGCAAAAA
rnacentral:misc_RNA from 1 species